CAGGACUGUGAGACAGUGAGAUUCUGU
rnacentral:piRNA from 1 species